UAGUAGUCAUACGCUCGUCUCAAAGAUUAAGCCAUGCAUGUGUAAGUAUAAAUAGUUAACUUUGAAACUGCGAAUGGCUCAUUAUAUCAGUUAUAGUUUAUUUGAUGAAGAAUACUAAUUGGAUAACCGUAGUAAUUCUAGAGCUAAUACAUGUAUAAAGUCUUGUAGACUGCAUUUAUUAGAAUGAAAACCAUAGGUUUCGGCCUAUUCGUGAGUAAUAAUAACUAAUCAUAUCGUAUGCUUAUGUAACGAUGUGUCUUUCAAGUUUCUGCCCUAUCAGCUUUCGAUGGUAGUGUAUUGGACUACCAUGGCGGUAACGGGUAACGAAG
rnacentral:rRNA from 1 species